rnacentral:piRNA from 1 species
UGCUCACCGGCUGUAUGAAAGUAGAG